GGCGGUCGCAUGAUUUCAGGCUCCUCGAGCUGGAAAACGCUGCCAGAGUGAAUCACUUUGCUUUCUUAUUACUGUAGUUAGAAGCAAGCCGAAACUUGCCAUUUGCAAGCUCUGCCUGGAUCCAAAAAUGGGCUGAGUGAAGGAGUUGCUCCUCUUUCAGACUAACCUGAAAGCCAACUGAAUUCAGCAGCUGAAUAUACAUUUAAGGAAGACAAACGGAAGGGAAGGCAAUAAAAGGAUGUAAGAUGAAAGAAGAAAUGGGAGAAGAUAUGGAAAAAGGAAUAAAACAGAGCAUGAGGAGGAGAAGAAAGGAGGCUUUGAGGGUCGUUAAAAGAACGUGGGGGAAAGCAGAGCAUGAAACAGACCACGUGGCACCUCUGGUUCUUUGCUUCUUACUUCAUCUUCCCUACAUAAGCCAUGAAUGAUUUUAAAAACAGUGUCCAGAUUUCACCUGUCUGCUUUUGCCUGUUCUUUUUUCUGCAGGAGCUACAGGUGCCCAGCAGCACUCAGGUCUGGCCCAAGCACCUAUUGGGGAGGUUGGGGAGGCUGCCAGGGAGCUGCUUUGCUGCAGCCCUGGAGGUGACCACACGUGUCCUGGUCCCGCUGCCUACACGGGGCUGUGCUGUCACUGCCUGCCCGUCCCCUGUGCUCCGACACUUGGCUGCUGUGCUACAAAAAGUGCUCCGCAGGUGCUAUGGGACUUUGCUCGGGAGCAAACAUUAACACAGGAGCAACAGUGUGUGUUUUCAGCGUAAGCAGUGCAUUUAGCUCAGUGUGUAACAAACAGGGCAUGUGUUCCAAGUGCAUGCCUGCAUCUGUGUUUCUCCAAAUUCCUGUGCAAAUUGGAAAGCCUCUGCUGCCAUAUCAGUACCCCAUGCAGUCCUCCCUCUUACCAAUGACAUCAGGAGAAACUGACAAAAGGAUGUGCUUCCCUUCAUACCUACCAAUAUUUUCCUGUAAUCAUCAAUAAUCACCAAGAUAACUUGCUAUUGAAAGCCAUGAUAUAUCCCAUCCCCUUUCAUCACAACACGGGUGAGAAUAAAGCAAGGCAUUAAACAGGGAUCCCUAAACAGGAAGAGCAGCUGAGAAAUGUGUUCUUAGCAUGUUCAUAAACCACUUGAAUAGUUGGUACAGUGGAAUAUACAUACCAUCGUGUUUUGAUAGGUAUUUUGUCUGACAUACCCCCUGGGUGUUCCUCUUCAUGUCACAGGAAGGUAUUUUUUUAGGAAUGCUCAUCAAUAGAUAUAACCUGAUUGUGGUAAAUAAUUUGGCAUUGCUUCUGUUCAGAAAAUGGGUUCCUCUGACGGUAUCUGAAUUGGUUCCAGCCCUGGCAAGUACUUGACAAACAGAGCCCAGUGCUGCAGUUCUGUUUUAAUGUUGUUUAUUCAUUAUUUGGGUAGGGCAGAUAAGGCCCUAGGGCCUGAUCCAGUGCCCGCAGAAGUCAGCGAGAGGCUCCACAAGCCUUUUUAGUCAUUGGAAUCCUGUGCUCUGGGUCUCAGAGUCCACAAAUCUGUGCCAGGAGCUUCGUCAAUAACUGAAAAGCUGGAAGAAGAGCAAUGAGUAAACUUCUGGACAGCCAGAAAGGAGGAAAGGGGAUUGAAAGCCAGCAAUAAAUUCUCAGCAGAGACAAAAUGUCUCCAAGAAGCUUUUGUAGGUGCCGAUUGAGAAGAUAAGUAACCUCUGAAACUUUCAGGAAAGCACCAAGACUCUAAAGGCUUUAAGACAAAACUAAAGUUAACAUCUCGGGUCUUAAAUUCCAUUUACUCUGCAAGUAGCCUGUAGUUCAGUCUUCUGUAAAUUAACUACGUUCACCUUGACUUCUUGUGGUGCUCGUAAAUCCCCCAAGUUCUACUGUUCUUAGUGGUUUUAUUUUUUGCUGAUUUUAAUGAUAAUUGAUGGCUUACAGAAAAGUUGCUAAGAAUUUACUUUUACUAAUUAAACAUUUAUAUAUUUGCUCUCAGUAUUAUAAAGAGAGCCAGAAAUCUACUUAGAUUAUCCAGUGUUUUCCAUGCUGAAAAAACAUUGCGAUUUUCUUUCAAAACAUUGGAUUUCUUGUUGAGAAAAUCUGAUAGCCAUAUCUCGAGCUGCCCUUUGAAAUUUGUCAGGAAUGAAAUUCCAGAUCUGUUAAAAAGAGUAUUUGGUCCAUCAGUGCCAGGUUUACACUUGUCUGCUUUGCUGAUACUCGUUCCAGCACUGCCCUCUCCUCCGUUGCAGGAUUGCUGUCAUUCCCAGAGCAGUGCUGGAUGCACAGGACAGCGUCCCAUGUCUUCUGGCCUCUCGUAAUGUGAAUUUAAUCCUUUUUGACCCGUGGAGUACAUGCAGUGCAUGGGAUGACACCUGGGACUGGGUAAAGCAAGGAGACUGUUAGAACUGCUGGGAAAACUGCCAAGAAACUUGCUAAAGACAGUAAGAGCCGGGAUUAGAUCACAAGAAAACAUGAAAAACCUGUAGCAGUGUCGGAACAGUGAAAUAAUUGCUGUUGACCAGCAACUGUAUCUAUUAAUAAUAAGUUUUACAGCAGUGUGGUAAAGUUCCUGAUAUGCAACAUUAUGUUUCAGUGGAUACAUGCAAAUGACUGCUGAAACAUAAUGUUGAUCGUUACAAAGUCUAUGCCACUGUAAAAUUGCUUCUUAAAGGCAGUAUGUCUUGGAAGAGUCUCUAUUGACUUCACAUUUUUACAGCUGUUCCUGCAAGCUUCUCAGAUGAUGCCUAUUAAAUCAAGGAUUUAUAACUCUUUUAUCCUCUCAGUAUGUUCUCGGCAGCUCUUAUGAUCACCUAGAAAGCACAAAAACAGCAGGUUAAUGGAAAUUUUCAGCGUUUUCCAAUAAUAAAUUUGAUAGGCUAUGGCCAUAAAA